GUGCUGCCCUCGCCUUGGCAGCACCUGUACCCAAAUUGGAACGACACAGAGAAGAUUAGCACGGCCCUGGCGCAAGGAUGACAUGCAAAUUCGUGAAGCGUCCCGUAUUUUU
ensembl:snRNA U6 U6 spliceosomal RNA